rnacentral:rRNA from 1 species
UAUAGAGGUCCCAAGCGUUGUUCGGAUUCACUGGGCGUAAAGGGUGCGCAGGUGGGCUGGUAAGUUCGAUGUGAAAGCCCCGGGCUUAACCCGGGAAUGGCAUUGGAUACUACUGGUCUGGAGGAUCGGAGGGGGGACUGGAAUUCUUGGUGUAGCAGUGAAAUGCGUAGAUAUCAAGAGGAACACCAGUGGCGAAGGCGAGUCCCUGGACGAUACCUGACACUGAGGCACGAAAGCCAAGGGAGCAAACAGG